rnacentral:lncRNA from 1 species
GGAGAAGGGUGAGGGGCGGAUUAACCCCUCCCUGGCGACUCCUUUGUCUGAAAAGAAAUGUUGCCACGUUUAAUUUUUGUUGCCAUGAGAUAUGGAGGGGGUAGCCCAGCAUUUUGAAGUAAUUUGAUAAGCCUUCAAGUAGUAAAUCCGAAAGGGAGGCCGGCGGCCCAGGUAUAGUUUCUUUGUAACCUGAAUUUACAAUGAAAGCAUUCUCCUUUAUGGAUAUAAUAGAUUAGAUUUCACAACUUAAUUCACCGGAAUGGCUCCGUUUAAGGGAGCUCCGGCUGAUUUUAUUACGCCAAGCCAAAUUGGAUGUUUGUGGUCUUAACGAAAAGCGAUCGUGACAUAAAAUAUAUAAUUUUUAAAGUAAAAAACCAGCGGGU